UACGGAGGGUGCGAGCGUUGUCCGGAAUCACUGGGCGUAAAGGGCGCGUAGGCGGCGCGGGUAGUCAUCGGUGAAAGUUCAGGGCUCAACUCUGAAUCGGCCGGUGAUACUCCCGUGCUCGAGCACUGUAGAGGCAGGUGGAAUUCCGGGUGUAGCGGUGGAAUGCGUAGAGAUCGUAAGGAAGACCAGUGGCGAAGGCGAGUUUCUGGACAGUUACUGACGCUGAGGCACGAAGGCCAGGGGAGCAAACGGG
rnacentral:rRNA from 1 species